UGAAGAAUAUUGGGCAAUGGGGGAAACCCUGACCCAGCAACGCCGCGUGAGGGAAGAAGGUUCUCGGAUUGUAAACCUCUGUCCCAUGGGAAGAAACAAAUGACGGUACCAUGGGAGGAAGCCCCGGCUAACUACGUGCCAGCAGCCGCGGUAAUACGUAGGGGGCUAGCGUUAUCCGGAAUUACUGGGCGUAAAGGGUGCGUAGGUGGUUUCUUAAGUCAGAGGUGAAAGGCUACGGCUCAACCGUAGUAAGCCUUUGAAACUGGGAAACUUGAGUGCAGGAGAGGAGAGUGGAAUUCCUAGUGUAGCGGUGAAAUGCGUAGAUAUUAGGAGGAACACCAGUUGCGAAGGCGGCUCUCUGGACUGUAACUGACACUGAGGCACGAAAGCGUGGGGAGCAAACA
rnacentral:rRNA from 1 species